GUUCAGACUGCAGGCUGCAACUCGCCUGCACGAAGUCGGAAUUGCUAGUAAUCGUAGGUCAGCAUACUACGGUGAAUACGUUCCCGGGCCUUGUACACACCGCCCGUCAAACCAUGAGAGUUGGCAACACCCGAAGUCGGUAGUCUAACCGCAAGGAGGACGCCGCCGAAGGUGGGGCUGAUGAUUAGGGUUAAGUCGUAACAAGGUAAC
rnacentral:rRNA from 1 species